rnacentral:tRNA from 1 species
AAUAAGGUGCCUGAAUAAAAGGAUUAUCUUGAUAGGAUAAAUUAUGUAAAAAUUUACCCUUAUUA